GCCAGCAGCUAUACCCUGCAUCUUCCAACUGGCAGCCCACUGAAGCUCAGCAGGUGUGAGCCUGGUCAGUACCUGGAUGGGAGACCUCCUGGGAGAGCUAAGGUUGCUGCAGGAA
rnacentral:rRNA from 1 species